CACCUCUGUUCACAAGUCCCCAAAGAACUGGCCAUGUGCUCCUGUAAUUAUUGAUCCCAGCUGGAAGAGCUUAGUGCCUGUGGUGGGGGUAUUUACACAGCUGGACGAGGACAGCCUCAGAUAUUUGGUGCUCAUCAGGGAAAGGAAGAGCCCUACAAUGCUAGAGAGCAUGGGUCUGGGUUCUGGUUCUGAAUGGUUGUGCUGAGAUGUUCUCCUGCUGUUCACCAUUCAAAGCCUAGUGUGGCUGACUGGGAAGACUCGUUGAGCUGUCCUGCUUGCUUCAAAGUUCUACGUGUCUGAAGGGAAAUGAGCGAAGAGCCGCCGUGGGCUGCAGCAGCGGUUUCUUCACAUAAUCCUGGCGAUGUGUUUUGCUGAUACUUUGCACAAGGGCAUACGAGGUUGCAAAGCCACCUGGGAGAGUGCUGGAGUGGAGCAGAGGGAAGCAACCACAGCGCAGUCUGGUCUAGUGAGACUAAUGGUCAUGUCAGGGGAAAAGUCCUGCUGUGACCCAGCCUCGGUGUGCGUGGCCAAGCCCUGUGCAGACAGCUGCUGGGGAAGGUCCAGGGAAGAACCAGAAGUGAGCUGGCCUUUGGUAGCAAAGCUGUGCUAAGUAGUCGAGAUUUAGAGCUGGACGUUCUCCCCAUCUUCUUUAGUAAAGAUGCCAACGUAUCCUGUAUUCAAAGCUCUUUGCCAGGGGGUUCACCUUGCUGCAGUCUGCACCUUGUGUCUAUGCUCUGUGGUUUGUGGUGGAGAUGAUUGCUUUGGCAACUGGCCUUCAGGGCUGCUAGCACCCUGGCAGCCAUCCUACAGCCACAUGAGAGCCACCUCAACAGGAUGUUCUCUCCAGCUUCCAGGACCCCCAGGAUGCAUUCCUGUCGCCAAUGAGAUCUUUACUUCUGUGGCUGAUGGGCUCUGAGUGAGCCCAGUCUGGAGAAGGGCUGCUGUCUCACCUUUCCCCAGCACCUGUGGUGGGAUGAGCUCCCCUCCCAGCAAUGGGCUGCAGAGAGGAGGAGGAAGGACGUGGCUGGGGCAGCCCAGAGCUAUUUGCAGAGCUCUGCUCUUGACCCAGGAGUAGGAUUACAGCCUUCUAGUUACGCUUUCCCCGGUGCAAACCAAUGCUGAAACAGUGCUGCGAGGGCUUGGAUGCAGUGCAGCUGUAAGGAAUAACUGAGCCGUGUAUGUAAAUCUAUUAUUUCUACAGUUAUUGUGGCUUCUGCUUUGUCUCCGUUAUCUGAGAAGGCGACUCCUGGCAUUCUAAUAAAACUAUGGAGUUAAUUUUAAUUACUGACAUCUGCAGCUUGGGUUGCUAUAGAAACACAAAGAACUGCCACUUCUACAAGUUUCAUCUGUAACUUGCUGCCUGGAAAUGUGUGGGGUCUGAUUCCUCCCUCCCAUCUCACAGUAGCAAAGCAGGGAUGGCUGCUGCAUCGGUCAACUGUAAAGGCUGUACAGUGAGUAUAGGACAGGAAGAUUAAUCUAACUUCUGGGACACAGAGACAAGAGCUAGAUGUUAUUCCUAGCAGCCAAGGAUGAAAUAUCAGGAGCUGUCAACAGAUGAACAGAGCUUGAAGAGAUGAUGGAAGGCCUGUGGUCAGAUAUGGGCUUUUAAUGAUGGGCAGCCUAGGCAGAACGAUAUGAACUGGUUCUGCACUUCUGAGAUGGCUGGAAAGCUGCCAGAGACCUUGGAGACGUUAGGACACCGCUGGAAUGAAUUUGCGUGCAUACUUUGCUUUGUCAAACACAAGGAUGUAAAAAUACUGUAUUCCACCUGAAAGCUGCCUUGUUGCAGAGUCACAUCCAGCAUCAUUGCAAGCAUCUUUAGAUUGUGAAGAAGUGAAGCCUGUAGCAAGGAAGCAAUUGUUAAGGGAGUUAACUGAUGUUAUUGAAUAGGAUCUGCAUUUGUGGAACAGAAUUAGGAGGCGCUUUCUUUACAUAAAAUAAGAGGAGCCAUUCACAGGAGACUGCAUACAGAGCACAAGCAAGCUAGGUUGGGAGUUCAUGGUAAUACUAAAUACCUUGCAGUGCAUGAGCUAUUUUUCACCAGGGAGACCAGAAGCCCUGAUCAGUAUUAAGAGCCUGUUGUCCUAUCGCAAAUACAGAGCAAACACAGAUAACAGGUAGCCAGCCCUGGAAAAUGUUUGUUUAUUCUGAUACAAUGGCAGAUUUACGCAUAAUUUGUGGACCUGCACUUAAUCAAAUCACAUGAACAUGUAGGCAAACACGUGCGGCCAUGCUUGUGUCUUUCAUCAAAUGUGAUUGAUAAAGAAAAGAAUUAGUGUAAGGAGUUGCAUUGUUGGAGGGCAUCGUUGUAAGCCAAACCUCUAUCGUCCCAGCGAGCGGAGUUCCAGUAAUUGCAUUUUAAGGAGUAAUAAUUGACAUUUCAGGUACAAGAAGAGAAGAGCCUGGCUCAAUUGUAGAGUAUAUACCUCUCGAGAAUGACACAGGAAUGUCAUGAAUACGAAGACAGCAAAUUUUUGGCAUCUUUUACCUUUCAGGGGACAGCAGAUCAGCACACAGCCUUCACAAUGUUCUCCGUCUGUGAUGAUUUCGUUCUUUUAUUUACAGUCUUCCAUGGUGAUGGAGCCCACAAACUAUGUUCCACAAACUCCGUUCCACAUUCUUUGACUCCACCUAUGGGCAGCGUGGAUGGUGAAUGCUGGCUGAUGGCACCCUCACCCAAUUGCAGGAAGCCUGCUGCUCAGCAGCUUGAGUGGUCCCAGAAGAGCUGGAGGAACACUCAGUGCAGCAGUCCUGACAUGAAUUGUCCAAAACGGCUAACUUGCCUGAGUAUAAUGACUUCAGCUAGAGUUGUAUUUAUCAGCCAGCUCCAGCCUUCAAGGACUUGGUUCUAAAAGAACCCUGAAUUGAUUAGUUACCCACCUAAACAGGUUUUACAUUCCAGAUGAGCUCCUUUAUUCAAAUGACAGAGGGCCAUUAUGUUGCUAGAAUGAUUACCAUGUCCUCCAUAUAUGGCUCCAAGUGAAUCAGUGAUCACUUUUAUAAGAAAAUUUGCUCCUACAAACUCCUCUGAUUUAAUGCUGCGGUCAUGGAUCCAGAUUGAGUUACAUUCCUACGCCUACCUGAAGAUAAGUGGACUUCCAGCCUCACCACCAGACACGUUCAUAUUUCAGGUAUAAUAGUCUUCCUUGAUUCCUGUUUGUUUUGGCCUCCAUCACUGCAGGUUCAUUGCUGUAAGAUACGUACUGAUGAGGGGCCUGAGUUCAGAGACAGAACUCCAAGCAAACCCAGAGUGUUGUAGGAUGUAGCAAUGUUUUUUUUGUUGUCUUUUUGCUUUUCUAGCAGGCAGUUCUUCCAUCACAGUUGCUGUGUUUAUGCUCUGCUGUAGUCUGUGCGUUUCUGAUAAGCUGGAGAACUGAAUUCUGACUAAAUGUGGUCAUAAAUGAUCCCGUGACACUUCUACAAUUAUCUCUGCUAAUGCAGCUUUCUGCUCGAGCUCCAGCCUGUCAAUGCUAUUCUCCAUCUGCAGCACUUUUAAUUGCAGGUGUAAAGAAGAUUGUUCAGUUACUGCUCUCACUUGCUGUGCAGGGCUAUCAGUCCUGUUAAAUCACUGCUUAAUAUUUCUAAGUGCAGAUUCAAGCCAGCUGCAUCCGCAUAACCCAUACACAGGUUUCACCACCCAUCCUUACUAACGCC
rnacentral:lncRNA from 1 species